CGCCCUUGACAUGUGAGGAACCUUCCAGAGAUGGGAGGGUGCCCGCAAGGGAGCCUCAACAC
rnacentral:rRNA from 1 species